GAUGAACGCUGGCGGCGUGCCUAAUACAUGCAAGCCGAGCGAACAGACGAGAGUGCUUGCCCUCUCUGACGUUAGCGGCGGACGGGUGAGUAACACGUGGGUAACCUACCUAUAAGACUGGGAUAACUUCGGGAAACCGGAGCUAAUACCGGAUAAUAUUUAGCUUCGCAUGAAGCAAUAGUGAAAGACGGUUCUGCUGUCACUUAUAGAUGGACCCGCGGUGUAUUAGCUAGUUGGUGAGGUAACGGCUCACCAAGGCAACGAUACAUAGCCGACCUGAGAGGGUGAUCGGCCACACUGGGACUGAGACACGGCCCAGACUCCUACGGGAGGCAGCAGUAGGGAAUCUUCCGCAAUGGACGAAAGUCUGACGGAGCAAUGCCGCGUGAGUGAAGAAGGUUUUCGGAUCGUAAAACUCUGUUGUAAGGGAAGAACAAGUACGUUAGUAACUGAACGUACCUUGACGGUACCUUACCAGAAAGCCACGGCUAACUACGUG
rnacentral:rRNA from 1 species